rnacentral:rRNA from 1 species
GACGAACGCUGGCGGCGUGCUUAACACAUGCAAGUCGAACGCUGAACCCGCUUCGGUGGGGGAUGAGUGGCGAACGGGUGAGUAACACGUGGGCAACCUGCCCCCGGCUCUGGGAUAACUCCAAGAAAUUGGGGCUAAUACCGGAUGUGACCGCUGGCCGCAUGGUCUGGCGGUGGAAAGGGUUUCCGGCUGGGGAUGGGCCCGCGGCCUAUCAGCCUGUUGGUGGGGUAGUGGCCGACCAAGGCGACGACGGGGAGCCGGCCGGAGAGGGUGACCGGCCACACUGGGACUGAGGCGCGGCCCAGACUCCUACGGGAGGCAGCAGUGGGGAAUAUUGCGCAAUGGGCGGAAGCCUGACGCAGCGACGCCGCGUGGGGGAUGACGGCCUUCGGGUUGUAACCCUCUUUCAGCAGGGACGAAGCGCAAGUGACGGUACCUGCAGAAGAAGCACCGGCCAACUACGUG